AGGGCGGGACACGUGGUAUCCUGUCUGAAUAUGGGGGGCCCAUCCUCCAAGGCUAAAUACUCCUGACUGACCGAUAGUGAACCAGUACCGUGAGGGAAAGGCGAAAAGAACCCCGGCGAGGGGAGUGAAAAAGAACCUGAAACCGUGUACGUACAAGCAGUGGGAGCACGCUUAGGCGUGUGACUGCGUACCUUUUGUAUAAUGGGUCAGCGACUUAUAUUCUGUAGCAAGGUUAACCGAAUAGGGGAGCCGAAGGGAAACCGAGUCUUAACUGGGCGUUAAGUUGCAGGGUAUAGACCCGAAACCCGGUGAUCUAGCCAUGGGCAGGUUGAAGGUUGGGUAACACUAACUGGAGGACCGAACCGACUAAUGUUGAAAAAUUAGCGGAUGACUUGUGGCUGGGGGUGAAAGGCCAAUCAAACCGGGAGAUAGCUGGUUCUCCCCGAAAGCUAUUUAGGUAGCGCCUCGUGAAUUCAUCUCCGGGGGUAGAGCACUGUUUCGGCAAGGGGGUCAUCCCGACUUACCAACCCGAUGCAAACUGCGAAUACCGGAGAAUGUUAUCACGGGAGACACACGGCGGGUGCUAACGUCCGUCGUGAAGAGGGAAACAACCCAGACCGCCAGCUAAGGUCCCAAAGUCAUGGUUAAGUGGGAAACGAUGUGGGAAGGCCCAGACAGCCAGGAUGUUGGCUUAGAAGCAGCCAUCAUUUAAAGAAAGCGUAAUAGCUCACUGGUCGAGUCGGCCUGCGCGGAAGAUGUAACGGGGCUAAACCAUGCACCGAAGCUGCGGCAGCGACGCUUAUGCGUUGUUGGGUAGGGGAGCGUUCUGUAAGCCUGCGAAGGUGUGCUGUGAGGCAUGCUGGAGGUAUCAGAAGUGCGAAUGCUGACAUAAGUAACGAUAAAGCGGGUGAAAAGCCCGCUCGCCGGAAGACCAAGGGUUCCUGUCCAACGUUAAUCGGGGCAGGGUGAGUCGACCCCUAAGGCGAGGCCGAAAGGCGUAGUCGAUGGGAAACAGGUUAAUAUUCCUGUACUUGGUGUUACUGCGAAGGGGGGACGGAGAAGGCUAUGUUGGCCGGGCGACGGUUGUCCCGGUUUAAGCGUGUAGGCUGGUUUUCCAGGCAAAUCCGGAAAAUCAAGGCUGAGGCGUGAUGACGAGGCACUACGGUGCUGAAGCAACAAAUGCCCUGCUUCCAGGAAAAGCCUCUAAGCAUCAGGUAACAUCAAAUCGUACCCCAAACCGACACAGGUGGUCAGGUAGAGAAUACCAAGGCGCUUGAGAGAACUCGGGUGAAGGAACUAGGCAAAAUGGUGCCGUAACUUCGGGAGAAGGCACGCUGAUAUGUAGGUGAAGUCCCUUGCGGAUGGAGCUGAAAUCAGUCGAAGAUACCAGCUGGCUGCAACUGUUUAUUAAAAACACAGCACUGUGCAAACACGAAAGUGGACGUAUACGGUGUGACGCCUGCCCGGUGCCGGAAGGUUAAUUGAUGGGGUCAGCGCAAGCGAAGCUCUUGAUCGAAGCCCCGGUAAACGGCGGCCGUAACUAUAACGGUCCUAAGGUAGCGAAAUUCCUUGUCGGGUAAGUUCCGACCUGCACGAAUGGCGUAAUGAUGGCCAGGCUGUCUCCACCCGAGACUCAGUGAAAUUGAACUCGCUGUGAAGAUGCAGUGUACCCGCGGCAAGACGGAAAGACCCCGUGAACCUUUACUAUAGCUUGACACUGAACAUUGAGCCUUGAUGUGUAGGAUAGGUGGGAGGCUUUGAAGUGUGGACGCCAGUCUGCAUGGAGCCGGCCUUGAAAUACCACCCUUUAAUGUUUGAUGUUCUAACGUGGACCCGUGAUCCGGGUUGCGGACAGUGUCUGGUGGGUAGUUUGACUGGGGCGGUCUCCUCCUAAAGAGUAACGGAGGAGCACGAAGGUUGGCUAAUCCUGGUCGGACAUCAGGAGGUUAGUGCAAUGGCAUAAGCCAGCUUGACUGCGAGCGUGACGGCGCGAGCAGGUGCGAAAGCAGGUCAUAGUGAUCCGGUGGUUCUGAAUGGAAGGGCCAUCGCUCAACGGAUAAAAGGUACUCCGGGGAUAACAGGCUGAUACCGCCCAAGAGUUCAUAUCGACGGCGGUGUUUGGCACCUCGAUGUCGGCUCAUCACAUCCUGGGGCUGAAGUAGGUCCCAAGGGUAUGGCUGUUCGCCAUUUAAAGUGGUACGCGAGCUGGGUUUAGAACGUCGUGAGACAGUUCGGUCCCUAUCUGCCGUGGGCGCUGGAGAACUGAGGGGGGCUGCUCCUAGUACGAGAGGACCGGAGUGGACGCAUCACUGGUGUUCGGGUUGUCAUGCCAAUGGCACUGCCCGGUAGCUAAAUGCGGAAGAGAUAAGUGCUGAAAGCAUCUAAGCACGAAACUUGCCCCGAGAUGAGUUCUCCCUGACCCUUUAAGGGUCCUGAAGGAACGUUGAAGACGACGACGUUGAUAGGCCGGGUGUGUAAGCGCAGCGAUGCGUUGAGCUAACCGGUACUAAUGAACCGUGAGGCUUAACCUUACAACGCCGAAG
rnacentral:rRNA from 1 species